UUUGGAUAUGAACUCAACUCAUUGCCAAUCAGAAAAUCUUUGAAUCUGCCUAUGACCUGAAAGCUCCUGCUUCCAGUUGUCCUGCCUUUCUGGACCAAACCAAGGAGGCUUCUCUCCCACAAGACCCCCCAACUAAGACGGAGCAAGAGAAAACAAAGAAAAACAGAGAUGAAUGAAUAAGAAGCAGAGGAAAUGCUGAAGAGAAAUAGAUUGAGAGCAGAACACAAUGGAUUAAAGGAUUCUGGACCCAGGCUAAGAGAAGGAUGCUUAUUUAUGGGACACCUGUAUCAAAUCAACAGCCAGUUGGCCAGGCAUGGUGGCUCACACCUGUAAUCCGAGUACUUUGGGAGGCUGAGGCUGGCGGAUCACUUAAGGUCAGGAGUUCAAGACCAGCAUGGCCAAUAUGGUGAAAUCCUGUAUCUACUAAAAAAACCAAAAAAAUCAGCUGGGUGUGGUGGCGGGCACCUGUAGUCCCAGCUACUUGGGAGGCUGAGGCAGGAGAAUUGCUUGAACCUGGCAGGCGGAGGUUGCAGUGAGCAGAGAUGGCAUCACUGAACUCCACCCUGGGUGACAGAGUGAGACGUUGUCUGAAAACAAACAAAGAAACAAACAAAGAUACCUGAGGAACCGGUGUGGAGAAGAUGAAACGUCUGAACUUGGGCGUGGAUUGAGGAGGAGCUGAAGAUGGCAGGAACUGGCUCACCUGGGGUUUACUUUAGGGAAAUAUGAGUUGGGAAGCUCUUCUAAGGAUUCUUGUCCCUGGAACCCAGCCACCGUGCUAUGAAGGAAGCCCCCAGGCAACAAGGAGAUGCCACGUGGACAUCUUCCAGCCAGAAGCUCCAGCUGAGGUCUCAGCCAGGAGCCAGCAUCAGUUACCAGACAUAUGAGUGAACAG